rnacentral:rRNA from 1 species
CAGUCGCCGCGGGAAUACGUAAGUGGCAAGCGUUGUCCGGAAUGAUUGGGCGUAAAGCGUCUGUAGGUGGCUUUUCAAGUCCGCCGUCAAAUCCCAGGGCUCAACCCUGGACAGGCGGUGGAAACUACCAAGCUGGAGUACGGUAGGGGCAGAGGGAAUUUCCAGUGGAGCGGUGAAAUGCGUAGAGAUGUGGAGGAACACCAGUGGCGAAGGCGACUCUCUGGUCUGUAACUGACGCUGAGGAGCGAAAGCGUGGGGAGCGAACAGGAUUAGAUACCCGCGUAGUCCCUGUCUCUUAUAC